CAGGGCGUUACAGAUGAAGGAGGGAACCAGGAAUCUCGCUCAGUCAGCUGUGGGUUGGGUUCCUCUUCUCUAAGUGGUCCUCGCUGUGAGGUUGUUGCAUGUGUGUGCGCCCUGCAGUGCCUACUCUCUCCCCACCGGCUGCCUCCUGCUCGGACUACUCUAGCAGUCGGCACCAGGUGUCUCUGAGGAAGAUGGAAGAACCACAGUCAACAGAUCUCAGUGGCUCUGUCUUACACCACAUAGUAAACCCAGGCUCAGGGUACGUCCAGACUACCCGCCUGAUAGCGAUCGAUCCCCGAACGUGCUCCCGUCGACUCCGGAACUCCACCAGGGCGAGCGGCGGUAGAGGAGUCGACGGGGGAGCCGCGGCCAUCGAUCCCAUGCCGUGAGGACGGGAGACCCUGUUCCCAGACGCAUCCAAUUAUGUACAAAGAAGCUUUCUUGGAGGGGGGGAGAUUAGAUUUCAUUGUUGUGGAGAACAGAUUGAAUGUGUGAUCUGAGUAUGGACCUAAAGGCUCAGAAUGAGGAAGCAAAUAAACACCUCAAAUUUAUUUUUAUUAUUAUUUUAAUUUUAAGACAAUUUCAUGAUUUUUGAACACUUUUGUACACUAAUACAGUAUUAGAAAUCCAAAUCUAUGCUUAAUUUUAUAACAAACAUGGACAUUUUAUAGUGUACAUAUUCACUGGCAAGGCAAGCAAAACUAUCUUAACUCUGCCCUCAAAACAAUAUUCAAUAAUAUUUCCCCACCUAAUAGUUUUCUUAGGGUCACGCACCCCUCUAAUUUCCCACAGCUGUGAAAAUUUAACUAGAUUAAUAUUGAAUAAAAGCUUAAAUCUAAACAUUGAUAUUAGUAUUCCCAAUUCCUGCCAUAAAAAUGAGCUGGGAAGGGGGAACGACAUUUUUUUUUUUUCAUACAAAUAUUCAGAUUCAUUUUUCUUCCACUGGUUUUGAAAAUGAAAGAUUCAUUCAUUCAAAGUGUCUUGAUCCUAUUUCCAGGGGUGGCCAGCCUGAUCCUGAGAAGGAGCCAGAAUUUACCAAUGAACAUUGCCAAAGAGCCACAACCCAUUUGAAGACACUGCGGGAAGAGAGAGAAAAGCUGCUGGGAUUUAAAGUGACUGGAGAGAAGAGAAGCCAGGAAUACCUGAGAAAGACACAAACUGAGAGGCAGAAGAUUGUGUCUGAAUUUCAGGAACUGCAGCAGUUCCUGGAGGAACAAGAGCGACUCCUGUUGGCCUAGCUGGAAAAUGUGGACAAGGAGACUGUGAAGAUACAGAAUGAAAAUGUCAGUAAACUAUCCCAGGAGAUUUCCUGUCUCAGUGAGCUGGAGGGGAAGUACCAGAAGCCAUCAGAUGAAUUCCUGCAGGUGAGACUGAGUUAGAAACAUCCCAGAUCCCCCCACAGGGACAGGUCGUCUCCUAAAACAUGGGCACAGAAGUCCAGCAGUCAGAGAUCACAGUGUAACUCAGUGUGUGCAUUGCAGAGAUGUGAAUGACUAUUAUUUUUGAAGAGUUACAGACACUUUGAUAUAAAAGAAGGAAAAGCCCCAUUAGCUCGGCGAACGCGUGGCUCUGUGGCCAGGGUAGGACCUCUUUUUCCCAUACUUUCUAAAUCUUUUAUUUGG